CAAACUUUUGAUGGGCGACCGGCGCACAGGUGAGUAACACGUAUCCAACCUGCCUCAUACUCGGGGAUAGCCUUUCGAAAGAAAGAUUAAUACCCGAUGUUAUAGUCCUACCGCAUGAUGGGAUUAUUAAAGAAUUUCGGUAUGGGAUGGGGAUGCGUUCCAUUAGUUAGUUGGCGGGGUAACGGCCCACCAAGACAACGAUGGAUAGGGGUUCUGAGAGGAAGGUCCCCCACAUUGGAACUGAGACACGGUCCAAACUCCUACGGGAGGCAGCAG
rnacentral:rRNA from 1 species